AUUGAACGCUGGCGGCAUGCUUUACACAUGCAAGUCGAACGGUAGAGGGGGCAACCCCUUGAGAGUGGCGAACGGGUGAGUAAUGCAUCGGAACGUGCCCAGUAGUGGGGGAUAGCCCGGCGAAAGCCGGAUUAAUACCGCAUACGACCUUAGGGUGAAAGCGGGGGAUCGCAAGACCUCGCGCUACUGGAGCGGCCGAUGUCAGAUUAGGUAGUUGGUGGGGUAAAGGCCUACCAAGCCGACGAUCUGUAGCUGGUCUGAGAGGACGACCAGCCACACUGGGACUGAGACACGGCCCAGACUCCUACGGGAGGCAGCAGUGGGGAAUUUUGGACAAUGGGCGCAAGCCUGAUCCAGCCAUGCCGCGUGCGGGAAGAAGGCCUUCGGGUUGUAAACCGCUUUUGUCAGGGAAGAAAUCUUCUGGGCUAAUACCCUGGGAGGAUGACGGUACCUGAAGAAUAAGCACCGGCUAACUACGUGCCAGCCGCCGCCGUAA
rnacentral:rRNA from 1 species